AGUGAACGCUGGCGGCAGGCCUAACACAUGCAAGUCGAGCGGCAGCGCGGGUAGCAAUACCUGGCGGCGAGCGGCGGACGGGUGAGGAAUACAUCGGAGUCUACCUUGUCGUGGGGGAUAACGUAGGGAAACUUACGCUAAUACCGCAUACGACCGAGAGGUGAAAGUGGGGGACCGCAAGGCCUCACGCGACUAGAUGA
rnacentral:rRNA from 1 species